UAAAGCUUGUAGGACCUGGCAUAUUGC
rnacentral:piRNA from 1 species